GAUGGAGUUAUCAUUGGGUAUGCAUUGAGAUUCAAUUUUAGUACAAUGAAUAACAUAAAUGAGUAUGAAGCACUCAUCGCUGAACCAAAAAUCACCAAGAAGCUUGGCGCAAAAGAAGUUAAGGUGUUUUUUGAUUUUUAGCUCAUCGUGAGCUAAGUAUGAGGCAAGCAUGACGCAAAAGAUUCCAUGAUGUUUAUAUACCUUCAAAAGAAAAGAGAUCUUCAAUGGAUACCG
rnacentral:lncRNA from 1 species